rnacentral:misc_RNA from 1 species
AUAUCUCAAGCAUUUGCUUGGUCUUGAUAGUACUUUUGGUAUUGUCGAAAUAUAGCGGCGGCGUAGCUGUGUCCUAGCGUAGUGACUUUUCAUCGCUCGGAUUACAGUCGUUCGUUUGCCAGACAACAACCCUUUUCAAUGA